UUAAAGGUUCUCUCCUUUAAUCCUGUAAGGAUAGCCAGCCACGACUGCUAUUCAGAGAACAGAAGAGAUUAAGGAAUUGGCCUGUGACUGAUCAGUGUUGCCAGUCUCCGUGACAUGCUGGUAGCACACAGCUCUGGGACAAAGCUUGACUCACACCAUUUGCUGGUUUCCUUAGUGCCAACUUGUCACCAACACCAUGGACUCACUGAAGCCGUGAAGCGAGUCUGAGAAAUGACGUCAUCUGCCCAUCCUUCCCUGUGCCGCUGGUCUAUAAAGUGCUUUACAAGCUGGCGAUUAUCCAGAACCACACCCUUCUAAAGUGGGACUAACAGCGACAGCACUGGCAGCCAGCACCAGCACUGUGGGGGCGGCACACCCCGGGCUUUAGAGUAUGGUUUCUCUUCCUAGCCGGAGUUUCAGCUUCUGGUUUCUGUGCUGUCCUCACAAUUUCCUAGCACUGGGCCAAAGGGCACUUUGCAGUCCACGUCUGCAUAUACCUUUCAGACUUGUCAUCUGAAACUUCCAGAACAAAGUGCCUUUGAGGUGUUCUUCAGAGGUCAAAGACCAAUCAGCCAGCUCAGCACCAGACUGUGGAAGUCCAGCCCCCAGGGAGAGCUCUGGCUUUAAGAAGUUUCUUGUCUACUUCUGUUUGUCCUCCCAUCUUCUUUUAUUCUGUCAGUCCUCUUCAUGUGCUUAGUCUGUUGACAAGUGCACACAUGCAUGCAAUGCACUGACAAGUACACCCAUGCAUACAAUACAUUGACAAUUGCAUACAUGCAUAAAUGUAUCUUGAUGAUCCGUGCCCCACUCUGGACGCACUCCCCCCAGCCUCUUCAUC
rnacentral:sRNA from 1 species